UACGUAGGGUGCAAGCGUUGUCCGGAAUUAUUGGGCGUAAAGAGCUCGUAGGCGGUUUGUCACGUCGGAUGUGAAAACCCGAGGCUUAACCUCGGGCCUGCAUUCGAUACGGGCUGACUAGAGUUCGGUAGGGGAGAAUGGAAUUCCUGGUGUAGCGGUGGAAUGCGCAGAUAUCAGGAGGAACACCGAUGGCGAAGGCAGUUCUCUGGGCCGUAACUGACGCUGAGGAGCGAAAGCGUGGGGAGCGAACAGG
rnacentral:rRNA from 1 species